rnacentral:rRNA from 1 species
CCUAUCCGCAUUUGUGGACAGGGCAAUGUGGUGUUAAGGCGCACGCCUUUGAACUGCCCGUCUACUCGAAGUCCAACUCCGAUUAUGGCAUUGGAUCUGUUCCAGAGAGGGUGAUAGACCCGUACGAGUAGACACUGCUUGCAUGAGGGUAGUUCUAAGAUGUGUGUGSUUUGGAGUCGGAUUGCUUGAGAAUGCAGUCCAAAGCGGGUGGUAAACUCCAUCCAAGGSUAAAUACUGGCACGAGUCCGAUAGUAAACAAGUACCGUGAGGGAAAGUUGAAAAGUACUCUGAAGAGAGAGUAAAUAGUACGUGAAGCCGCAUGUAGAGAAGCUGGUGGAGUCAAGCUCCAUGCUCGAGUGAUUAAUAUGGAGAGUGGUGUUGAUUAUUCCGCGUCCUGCUGAUGAGACUGGAAACGUUUCGAUGGUGUUGAAGCCCUCGCGAGCAUUCCGGUAUGUGUGCUUGUCUCAGCAAGGCGUUGUGUUCUCUCUUAUAUUCUAUCACCGAGCAGCCACCACGGUUGAUAUCUUCUCGGUGCGUGACUGUUAAACUGUGCCUAUGUGGGUCGUCUCGUAUCUGCUGGACACAGGAUGSCMGGUUGUGCUCGUGAUUCUCUCUCACGGGCAUGUAAACUGGUAAUAAUACCAGCCAAUGGUCACGUUUACUGCUUUACUGUUGAAGUUAUCAUACAUGUAUUGUGAUCAUGUCCAUAUUAAAUUGGUAAUGGUCAUUGAGAAUCGUGGUGUUGGAGUAGAUUUUCCACCCGACCCGUCUUGAAACACGGACCAAGGAGUUUAACAUGUGUGCAAGUCAAUGGGUGAGAAACCCAGAGGCGUAAUGAAAGUGAAUGGUUGCUUUUCGUAACCUUAGGUGUGAUCCCGGCUGACCUUGUCAAGGGCGGCCAGGCGCAACACCGGCCCGUCUCGAGAUGUGGUCAUUUGGGCUGCUUGCGGCUGCGAGUGCGUCAUCGAGGCGGAGCAAGAGCAUACAUGUUGAGACCCGAAAGAUGGUGAACUAUGCUUGCGUAGGUCGAAGCCAGAGGAAACUCUGGUGGAGGACCGUCGCGGUUUYGACGUGCAAAUCGAUCGUCAAACGUGAGCAUAGGGGCGAAAGACUAAUCGAACCAUCUAGUAGCUGGUUCCCUCCGAAGUUUCCCUCAGGAUAGCUGGCAAUCGAAUCGCUAAACAGUUUUAUCCGAUAAAGCGAAUGAUUAGAGGUAUUGGGGACUAAUUGUCCUCAACCUAUUCUCAAACU